ensembl:misc_RNA 7SK 7SK RNA
GGAUGUGAGGGUGAUCUGGCUGUGACAUCUGUCACCCCAUUGAUUGCUGGGGUUGAUUUGGCUGAUCUGGCUGGCUGGGCAGUGUCCCCUUCUUCCCUCAGUACUCCAUGUAUGUCCCUCCUGAAGCUGCAAGCUCAGUUGAAGAAGACAACCUUCUCCCAAAGAGGAGGACCAUUCUUUGAUUCAAGGGUAUAUGUCAGGGUGUGCUCCCCUACUAGAAUCUCCAAACAAUCUCUCAGAAGGAAGGAUUCUUUUAAUUUUUUUAUGGUUUAUUUAUUUUUGAGGGAGAGAGAGAGAGAGAGAGAGAGAGCAA